rnacentral:rRNA from 1 species
GUAAUCGCAGAUCAGCAUGCUGCGGUGAAUACGUUCCCGGGCCUUGUACACACCGCCCGUCACACCAUGGGAGUCGGUAACACCCGAAGCCUGUAGUCUAACCGCAAGGAGGACGCAGUCGAAGGUGGGAUUGAUGACUGGGGUGAAGUCGUAACAAGGUACC